rnacentral:rRNA from 1 species
AUUGAACGCUGGCGGCAUGCCUUACACAUGCAAGUCGAACGGUAACAGGUCUUCGGAUGCUGACGAGUGGCGAACGGGUGAGUAAUACAUCGGAACGUGCCCGAGAGUGGGGGAUAACGAGGCGAAAGCUUUGCUAAUACCGCAUACGAUCUCAGGAUGAAAGCAGGGGACCGCAAGGCCUUGCGCUCACGGAGCGGCCGAUGGCAGAUUAGGUAGUUGGUGGGAUAAAAGCUUACCAAGCCGACGAUCUGUAGCUGGUCUGAGAGGACGACCAGCCACACUGGGACUGAGACACGGCCCAGACUCCUACGGGAGGCAGCAGUGGGGAAUUUUGGACAAUGGGCGCAAGCCUGAUCCAGCCAUGCCGCGUGCAGGAUGAAGGCCUUCGGGAUGUAAACUGCUUUUGUACGGAACGAAAAGACUCUGGUUAAUACCUGGGGUCCAUGACGGUACCGUAAGAAUAAGCACCGGCUAACUACGUGCCAGCCGCCGCGGUAA